rnacentral:SRP_RNA from 1 species
ACUGGGAUUGGUGGUGAACAUCUGUAAUUAUAGAUAUGAGGAAGGCUAAGGCACUCUUGACUGUAGGAGUUCUGAGCUAUAGUGGAUUAUAUAUUAAGGGUAUUCACGCUAAGUUUAGGAUCAAUAUAGUGAGCUUUGGGGAGCAGGUACCACCAGGUUGCCUAAGGAGGCAACUGGGCCAGGUUGGAAGUAAAGCGUGUCAGAGUUCCCAUGCUAAUCGGUAGCGGGAUCAAGCCCACAAGUGGCCCUUGAACUUUGAGCCUGGAUGAGAUGGGGGAGACCCAGUCGU